rnacentral:rRNA from 1 species
GACGAACGCUGGCGGCGUGCUUAACACAUGCAAGUCGAACGAAGUGGCGAACGGGUGAGUAACGCGUAAUCAACCUGCCCAUCAGAGGGGGAAAACAGUUGGAACCGACUGCUAAUCCCGCACACUGAAGGAGGGGAUCGCGUCUGAUUUGCUAGUUGGAGGGGUAACGGCCCACCAAGGCGAUGAGCAGUAGCCGGUCUGAGAGGAGGAACGGCCACAUUGGGACUGGGACACGGCCCAAACUCCUACGGGAGGCAGCAGUGGGGAAUCUUCCGCAAUGGACGAAAGUCUGACGGAGCAACGCCGCGUGAGUGAUGACGGCCUUCGGGUUGUAAAGCUCUGUUAAUCGGGACGCGGUACCGGAAUAGAAAGCCACGGCUAACUACGUGCCAGCAGCCGCGGUAAUGC